GUGUUCUAUCACCUCUGUCAGGGGUUCGCUUGUUUUUAACGCCUUCACAAACAUUUGAGUCUAAUAUCGUUAAUCCAACAAUCCGCCCCAUCACCCCGCCCUUCUCUUUAUCACUGGCAAAGAAAACGAGCACCCCUCUUCAUGUGACGCACUAUCCUGACAGCGGCUAAGCUAAUGCUAAAGCGCUGCCAGUGACUGUACGUGUCGCAGAUCGGAGAUUGAAUUGAACCCGUUUCCCUCCCUCAGUCCUGGCCCACGUAGAGAAGCUCGGUAACGUUUUCGGGUACUUGUCUGGGAUGUAUGGAUGGAUAGCUGACGGAAUCUCAUCGCUGUUUGAGCCCCUCGCUGGGCAGAAGUUUACUGAGUGUUCCGCGGAGGAAAGCGCCAGCGAGGGCAGCGUGCGCCCGGGAUCACUGCGGCUGGACAAUAGCGGCAGAGCGGCUAAAAGAAGCUACCACAGCAUUGACACAAAUGAAAGCGUUUACAAAAGUGAGGUGGAGGUCAAGCGGCGCAAGCGAGAUGUAGUCCUAAGCUUUGUGAAGAAGACCGUCGCUGGUGUCACCAGUCUCCUCGGGCUGCGAAGGCCGGUCAAAAACAGCUACCAGCAGUCCCAAUAUGAUGACACACAGCUUGUUACCCCGAUGGGGAUAGAUGAGCUUCACACCUCGUUUAUCACAAAAUCAGACUGGAUCAUGGAUAAACCAGGUGGAGUCAAACAUCCCUUUAAAAGCUCUUCUCCUCCUUUAAUGAGAAAGCAAAGCGGUACGGGCCUGGCUGACAGAGACAGAAGAGGCUCUCUCCAGCUGCUCCCGUCCAGGCCCGCUCUGAGGCUGGGGCCCAACACUGUGGACCCCGUGUGCUUUGGACACAGCCGCUCACAUAAACCCAGCCUCACUGUGGAGGAGGCGAUUAGACAAAACAACAAAGAACACUACAGACGUUUGCUGGAGAUGGUGUCGGAGAAGUACAGCAAGAAUCAACCACUACCUUUUAACCAGUCAAAGCCCCAAAGUGAGACGACAACGUCGUCAAGAACCGAACACUCAACUACCUGGAAACCCUUUGUUGCUAAGAAGACUGGCGUGAAUUCUGGUGUCUUCACAUGGAGGAACCAAACUCCAAAGGGCAGAUGGUGCGCUGCCAAUUUCAGUAACUCCUUCAGUGGGCCUUUGAGGACACUCAACAUGCAAGAGGUGCCAAGAAGCAGACUGCAGAGCUGGACCUCUCCAGUGAAGUGGCCACUCGCUUGA
rnacentral:lncRNA from 1 species